GAUUUUAGGUGUCCUUAAGUGGACUUAAUAGGGAAUCGGGUGAAAGCCCCGGACAGUUCCCGCUGCUGUAAACUCUCGCAGCGCCUGCAGAUGUCACUGUUUAUCCCAUAUAAACGGGAAGACGCCGGCGUAAGGAGUGAGUCAGAAGACCUGCCUGAUAUCAAAG
rnacentral:ncRNA from 1 species